UUAAUUGAAACCAAAAAGAGGUAUAUUAUUGUUAAUAAUAAAAUUAGGAUAUUUUCCUCAAUUAAA
rnacentral:tRNA from 1 species